UACGUAGGGCGCAAGCGUUAUCCGGAAUUAUUGGGCGUAAAGAGCUCGUAGGCGGUUUGUCGCGUCUGCCGUGAAAGUCCGGGGGCUCAACUCCGGAUCUGCGGUGGGUACGGGGCAGACUAGAGUGAUGUAGGGGAGACUGGAAUUCCUGGUGUAGCGGUGAAAUGCGCAGAUAUCAGGAGGAACACCGAUGGCGAAGGCAGGUCUCUGGGCAUUAACUGACGCUGAGGAGCGAAAGCAUGGGGAGCGAACAGG
rnacentral:rRNA from 1 species